ensembl:snoRNA U3 Small nucleolar RNA U3
AAGGCUAUAUUUCCAGGGAUCAUUUCCAUAGUUUAUUACUAGAGGAGUUAAUCUGAAUGUGUAGAGCACGAGAAACCACGAGGAGGAGGUGCAGAGUUCUUUCCUGAGCAUGAAGCCGACCCUAGGUAUCGUGUUGCCUCACUGCAACUGCCAUUUGCCAUUGAUGAUGAUUGUUCUUCUCUUCCUCUGAGAGAAUAAGAGGAGAGGAUGCCUUCUGAAUGGC